GAUGAACGCUAGCGGCAGGCUUAAUACAUGCAAGUCGAGGGGCAGCGCGGGUAGCAAUACCUGGCGGCGACCGGCAAACGGGUGCGGAACACGUACGCAACCUUCCUUUAAGUGGAGAAUAGCCCGGGGAAACCCGGAUUAAUACUCCGUAAUAUUAUGAAGUGGCAUCACUUUAUAAUUAUAGAUUUAUCGCUUAAAGAUGGGCGUGCGCCUGAUUAGGUAGUUGGCGGGGUAAUGGCCCACCAAGCCUCCGAUCAGUAACUGGUGUGAGAGCACGACCAGUCACACGGGCACUGAGACACGGGCCCGACUCCUAC
rnacentral:rRNA from 1 species